rnacentral:rRNA from 1 species
CCAACCUGCCCACAACUAGAGAAUAACCUUGCGAAAGUAAGACUAAUGCUCUAUAAUUUCCUUAGAUGGCAUCUGACGAGGAAUAAAGAUUUAUCGGUUAUGGAUGGGGAUGCGUCUGAUUAGCUUGUUGGCGGGGUAACGGCCCACCAAGGCAACGAUCAGUAGGGGUUCUGAGAGGAAGGUCCCCCACAUUGGAACUGAGACACGGUCCAAACUCCUACGGGAGGCAGCAGUGAGGAAUAUUGGUCAAUGGGCGAAAGCUGAACCAGCCAAGUAGCGUGCAGGAUGACGGCCCUAUGGGUUGUAAACUGCUUUUAUACAGGGAUAAAGUUAGCCACGUGUGGCUAUUUGCAGGUACUGUAUGAAUAAGGACCGGCUAAUUCCGUGCCAGCAGCCGCGGUAAUACGGAAGGUCCAGGCGUUAUCCGGAUUUAUUGGGUUUAAAGGGAGCGUAGGCCGUCUGUUAAGCGUGUUGUGAAAUGUAGAUGCUCAACAUCUGAAUUGCAGCGCGAACUGGCAGACUUGAGUGUGCGCCACGUAGGCGGAAUUCGUGGUGUAGCGGUGAAAUGCUUAGAUAUCACGAAGAACUCCAAUUGCGAAGGCAGCUUACGGGAGCACAACUGACGCUGAAGCUCGAAAGUGCGGGUAUCGAACAGGAUUAGAUACCCUGGUAGUCCGCACGGUAAACGAUGGAUGCCCGCUGUUGACCCACCUGGCCAGCGGCCAAGCGAAAGCAUUAAGCAUCCCACCUGGGGAGUACGCCGGCAACGGUGAAACUCAAAGGAAUUGACGGGGGCCCGCACAAGCGGAGGAACAUGUGGUUUAAUUCGAUGAUACGCGAGGAACCUUACCCGGGCUUGAAUUGCAGAGGAAUUUACCAGAGACGGUAAAGCCUUCGGGGUCUCUGUGAAGGUGCUGCAUGGUUGUCGUCAGCUCGUGCCGUGAGGUGUCGGCUUAAGUGCCAUAACGAGCGCAACCCCUUUCUUUAGUUGCCAUCAGGUAAUGCUGGGCACUCUGGAGAUACUGCCACCGUAAGGUGUGAGGAAGGUGGGGAUGACGUCAAAUCAGCACGGCCCUUACGUCCGGGGCUACACACGUGUUACAAUGGCCGGUACAGAGAGACGGUUGCUUGCAAAAGUAAUCCAAUCCUUAAAGCCGGUCCCAGUUCGGACUGGGUCUGCAACCCGACCCCACGAAGCUGAUUCGCUAGUAAUCGCGCAUCAGCCAUGGCGCGGUGAAUAC